rnacentral:rRNA from 1 species
ACGAACGCUGGCGGCGUGCUAACACAUGCAAGUCGAACGGAGGCUUUCCUCGGGGGAAGCCUUAGUGGCGGACGGGUGAGUAACGCGUGAGCAAUCUGCCUUGCACAGGGGGAUAACAACUGGAAACGGUUGCUAAUACCGCAUAACGUAACGGGGAGGCAUCUUUCUGUUACCAAAGGAGCAAUCCGGUGCAAGAUGAGCUCGCGUCCGAUUAGAUAGUUGGCGGGGCAACGGCCCACCAAGUCAACGAUCGGUAGCCGGACUGAGAGGUUGACCGGCCACAUUGGGACUGAGACACGGCCCAGACUCCUACGGGAGGCAGCAGUGGGGAAUAUUGGGCAAUGGGCGAAAGCCCUGACCCAGCAACGCCGCGUGAAGGAUGAAGGUUUUCGGAUUGUAAACUUCUUUGACUGAGGACGACAAAAGGACGGUACUCAGAAAACAAGCCACGGCUAACUACGUGCCAGCCGCCGC